AGACAAGGCAACAGGAGGGACAAUACCGUCCACCUGCUCCUUCUGUACCCAAACGGACGAUUUAAUACCGUCAGCCCCAGCCAGCUCUCUCACCCAGAGCUCUCCUUCACUGGGAUAUCGUGGGGGAUCAAACACACAAGGAGAUAUGACUAAAGAGGCCCUUCGGGGCGACUGUACUGCCGGGUAGAAGUAACACUCUGAAAAAGGAGAUGUGAGCGGCGCGAUGCGAGACUUCCUGUUCUCGGCUGGGCCGUGGCGCGAUCGAGCCGAAGCUUCCUGUGAAGUGAAAAGGUGAGGCCUGCGUGCAGCAGCAGCGCCUCCGCAUCAUGACGUAGCGCUCUGCAUGAAACCAGAGUUUGAGGAACAAGCUGCUCAGGAAGCGCUGUCCACUGUGAUAAAGGCCCACGCUGACACAAAACGUUUUUUUCGACUCGCUUGGUGGAACCGGGAGAACCUCGGUGUCGGGACCUUUAGGAUCCCACCUUCGCCGUCCCGGACAUGGCUGGGCUCGACGGACUCAGGGUACUGCUGCUGCUGGCUGGGCUGGUCGCCAUGGCAAACUGUCAGGUGAAUCCCAAUGUAAAGCCGACGACUCCCACUGGUAAGUCGUAAUGCAGUGUUUCAUUCUGCGCAAAAAAACCAAAACCAUUCACACACCGACGGCGGUGUCGACCACAAAAGGCGGCGAUCAGGUCGUAGGGUGCGGUUAGGGGGAGAUGUCUUGCUCAGGAAGACCUCGACACUCAGCUAGGAGGAGCCGGGGAUCGAACUAGCAACCUUCCGGUUACCAGCCAGCCCGCUCUACCUCCUGAACCACGUUCUGCUCUAAUAAUGGGAUGGACGUGCCGACAAUAUCAACGUACACAGAGAAUGAAACGGGGAAGGAGGAAGCGACAUGAAAUGGUGUGCUCACACUCACGGCAUUGCAGCCCCGGUGUUCAAAUCUUUUUAAUCUUUUUGCCUUGCUCCGUGACAGAGUUUACAACUGGAUGUUAUGUUACACGGUCCCUCACACAGGGAGAAGCCAUGACGAUGAAGCGUGUCAUUCAGGACGGUGUUGUUAAACCGUCUGCCUGGAGACAUGUAAAUCCAGCGUAAAAAACAGUCUGAAUGCGUAUGAUGAAGCAAUGUGUAACACAUGAUGUGUGUAUGAAACACAUACAUCUCUUAAUCUUAGCAGCAGUUGGGAAAUCUUAACUAAGAGGAAAGUAACACAGAUGGUUGACCAGUAAGGGCUAAGUCACUAGUCCGACAAAGAAACUCGUUCUGUUCCUCAGUAGUGGAGGAAGUACUCACACAUAGUACUGAAGUAAAAGCACAAACAGAAAAAAAAGGAACUCUUGCAAAAGUUGAAGUACCACAUGAACUAAAUUGACUUGAGUAAUGUGCACUGCAGAUACAUGAAAACUGUACUUAAGUACAGUGACAAAGUACUUUGUUACUACUUGCAGAACUACACUUGCAAAACACUCCAGUUUUACGCAGUUUCAACAGUGUCCACAUCCUCUUGUAAUCAGGCCUUCAGUCUGAUAACCAUUUCGCUAGAUAAAUAGCUGCAGAAUUGCGCACAGGAAGAUAUCUGAUAUUUUGAAUAAGUCUAUAUUAUUAGUCUGUAUUUGACCUGCUUGAUGGUUGAUUAUAAUUUUUUUAGUUUGUUUGAAAGGAAUCUCAAAAUAGGGGGUGUUAGAUUUAGCACAUUUUAGGAUAGUCAAUAUUGAGUAACAUAGAAUAUAUAAUAGAAUCAUGCAGUUAGAUAAUACCCUCAUUGUGGAAACAACAACAUCUAUGUCUCUCUCAAUCUCUCUCUCUCCAUCUCUAGGUCAGGUGAAUUCCACUGGUGAGUUGUGAUGCAGUAUUUAAUUUCCGCAACAAAAAAAACAGUUAAGAAUGCAGUUAAAUUAUUACCUCACAUAUUA
ensembl:lncRNA